rnacentral:tRNA from 2 species
UCUAAUAUGGCAGAACAGUGCAAUGAAUUUAAGACUCAUAAAGAAAGAAUUAAUCUUUUAUUAGAA